UACGUAGGGUGCAAGCGUUAUUCGGAAUUACUGGGCGUAAAGCGCGCGUAGGCGGCUUCGAAAGUCAGAGGUGAAAGCCCGGGGCUCAACCCCGGAACUGCCUUUGAGACUGCGUCGCUAGAAUCCAGGAGAGGUGAGUGGAAUUCCGAGUGUAGAGGUGAAAUUCGUAGAUAUUCGGAAGAACACCAGUGGCGAAGGCGGCUCACUGGACUGGAAUUGACGCUGAGGUGCGAAAGCGUGGGGAGCAAACAGG
rnacentral:rRNA from 1 species